UUCUAACUUCUAAGUUCUGAGAGCUUACUGCUUAGGUCACACACUGCAAAGGCGCACAUAGAAUUUCAGAAUUCUUUGCCAGCACCAUUUCUGUCGUUCUCCGCCCUUCAUCGUCGACUCCGGCCGAUUCCCGAAGUUUCAAUGGCGUCUUCUAAGAGGCCAAAUGCGGGGCCCAAUGGGAGAGGCAAACGCCGGAAAUCUUCUGGCGGUUUUUCGCCGUUGGAUGUUUCUCCAGGUAGCGUUGUGUUCCGUUUGCUCUGUCAUGCUUCUAGAAUCGGCAGUGUUAUUGGCAAAGGUGGUUCCAUCAUAUCGCAAAUUCGCCUAGAAACUGGUGUGAAGGUUAAGAUUGAGGAAGCUGUUCCUGGGUGUGAUGAAAGGGUUAUCACUAUCUCGGGUUCGGAUAAAGAGGCUGAAGAAUAUACUGCUGAGCAGGGAAAGGAGGUUAAUGAUAAUGAUGAUGUUGGAAGCGAGGGGAAAGAUGGGGAGGAGAAGAAUGGUAGCGAUGGCAAUGCUAAUGAAGAUAAAGAAGAAAAAGAUGCUGUUCCCGUUGAAGAUUCGAAGAGUGAGAAGGGGAAUUCGGCUAUUUGGAAAGCUAUAUCCCUAGUUUUCGAGAGGAUGGUUGAGGGAGUAGAGGAGACAACUGAAGGGGAUGAAGAAAGUAAUAAAUCUUCUUCCUUUUUUUUGAGGCUGCUUAUUCUUACUGCUCAAGUUGGAUGCGUUUUAGGAAAGGGUGGUAGUGUGAUAAAGAGAAUGGCAGCUGAGAGUGGUGCACAGAUUCGGAUCCUUCCUAAAGACAAGGUUCCAGUGUGUGCAUCAACAUUUGAUGAGAUAGUUCAGAUCUCAGGAAGUGUAGAAGUUGUCAGGAAAGCUCUUCAAUCUGUUUCUCAACAGCUUUUGGAAAAUCCACCUCGGGAUCAUGAAUCCCUGUCCGCCAAGUCUACUGGGCCGUCAUCUCAUUCAUUUGGGCAAUUCCCACCACACAACCAUUCUUUUGCUGCUCAAGGAGAACCUUUUGCUACUGGUCCUCAUGAUAUUUCUGCUUUUCAUUCUGCCCCUCCUUUGAUUCCCAAGUUUCAUGAAGCUGCCAUCCACGGUCGCACGAGGCCUUUACAAGAAAUGCUUACUUUUCGUUUAUUGUGUCCUGUGGAGAGGGUGGGAAAUAUAAUUGGCAAAGGUGGAGCAAUCAUAAAGACUGUGCAACAAGAGACAGUGAGUGAAAUCAAGGUUUUAGAAGCCCCUCCAGAUUCAGAGGACUGUGUUAUUGUUAUAUCUGGUCCAGCGCACCCAGAGGAUAGAGUAUCCCCUGUGCAAGAGGCUGUAUUUCGUGUGCAAACUAGAAUAGCCAAGCCUAUACCCGAUGCCAAUGACCAUACUAUGUUAGCAAGGUUUCUUGUUUCUUCCAAUCAAAUAGGUUGUCUCCUUGGCAAGGGUGGUUCCAUCAUAACUGAAAUGAGGAAGAAAUCAGGGGCCCAUAUCCGUAUAUUAGGAAAGGACAAGGUUCCAAAGUGUGCUUCAGAGGAUGAAGAAGUAAUUCAGGUGAAUGGAGAAAUUGAGGCAGUGCAUGAGGCUCUUUUGCAAAUAACCACUAGAUUAAAACAUCAUUUCUUUCGCGAUUCAUAUCCAUCUGUCAAUUAUCCUUCAAAUUCUCCAUUUCUGGAUCAACUUCCUCCAUUCCCACCUUAUUUAGGAAGGAGGGGACUUUCACCUCCUGGGAUGUAUUCUGACCUUGGUCCUCCACCUUCACAUGCGGGUUUUCCUCUUGAUGAUCGCCCUGCUUUUCUGAAUAAUAUACAUAGGCCAGGCCUUCCUCCUCACAUAUCUCAAAGGAAGCCUUGGGGUCCUCUGGGGGUACUUGAAGGUGGCACACCCAUUGGCUUGCCAGACUUUCCAAGAGGUCCUCCUAGAAGAAUUUCAGGAUUUUCAGGGGGGAGCCAACCAAUUAUCACAAGCACCACUGUUGAAGUUGUUGUUCCUCGAGCAGUGGUGCCUGUAAUAUAUGGGGAAGAUGGUGAAUGCCUAAAACAAAUACUUCAGAUCUCUGAUGCAAACAUUACUAUUACUGAUCCAAAGCCUGGAGCUGUGGAAACUAAAAUUAUAAUAUCUGGAACUCCAGAGCAAACUCAUGCUGCCCAAAGUCUUAUUCAGGCAUUUGUCAUGAGUGAGAGGGAGUCAGUUUGAUCACUCUAUUUGGAUUUUCAUCAUGUCCAGGAUCAGCACUGUUUUGAAGCUUGUAGAAGAUAAGCAGCAGUCAAAAUGGCUUCCAACGUCUCUUGGUAUCUUUAACUCAAGCAAGUUGGUGUAUGCUUUACUCCUCUUCUUUGACAUGUAAGAAUAUUAAUCAUCUGGUUCUUCCAUGCAUAUGUGCUUUUAUCAUUGGACUUGUACGACCCUAUCUGUCCCCCAAAAAAAUGCCAACAGAAAGAGAAAAGACAAUAGCAUUUGCUCUGCUCUAGAAAGAAGAUAAUGGAAAGAGCAUUUCCUCUGCUGUACGUAUACUAGUUCAAGUACUAGAUGAUCCUAAGGCCAUCUCCAUCUAGAGGUGCUUAAAUUCCCUUUUCUUAUCAAGAACCAAUCCUUAGUAAGAUCUUGCAUUGAAGUUUUAUCUUAUUAAGAACAUGUAAUGUCAAUGCACCAGGUGCUUAACUUUUUUUCAGGGUCAUAUAAUAUACUUUUUUUUUUUUUAUCAAAAAUAAUAAAAAAAAGUUGGUAAUAGUUAAUGUUGAUGAAAUGUAAGGUUGCUUACUUAUUUGUGGGACCUAUUUUGGUAAUUUUUAAGUUGAUUGGUUGGAAUUUGGAAAGAGUUGUUUAAAUUGUAAAACAUAAAAAAAGUGAUGUGUAAAAAGUAAAAAAAAAAAAGGAUGCUGGGAUGGAGAUGCUCAAUAAACUGAUAGAAACUAGUAUCAUAACAGUGACAGAAUUUUUUAUUGAAUGGAACUAGGAAGAAUCCCCCUUGUAACCAAUUCUUUGCUCCAGAUAUUUGGAGGUCUAGAUCCGCUCCUUACACUGUUUUUCAAUCACCCAAAGUCUCCUAAACUGUUCACGAUUAUUCCUAUUUAGGCUGAUCUACUAACAUAAACCUAUCCUUAUUGGGCCUAAUCAGUUGCAGGCCCAGUCCCUUCUUUCUAGCAGAAACCCAUGUCUUUCUUUGGCCUAUUAAUCUAACUAUUUUUUUAUUCAUAAUUAAUCCAACUAAUUACCAAUGGAUAUCUAUCUGAACGCACCAUAUUAAAAUUUGAUUUAUUGAAUUCUUCUAUUUAUAAUACUGGUGGAAAUAAACAUGCAGAGUAUAUGCAUGACAAUUGCGAAACGAACAUUUCUAUCGGGCUGAUUGACAUAGAAUAUAUGUAUGACAGUUGAGAAAUGGAGAGUAUGUUAGAUGACCGAUUGUGCAUUCUGACUUGAAUGUUUGGUUCUACAUGGAUUAUUCUUAUCUUGAAGGAUUUCAUAACCAGUUAGUGAAUUUGUAUCUCGUCACUGUCCAGAAUGUUCACUGUGCUAUUUUAAAUGUGUAUGAUGCAGAUACAAGAUUAGUGCAUGCUCCUCUGAAUUGAGUGGGUAUAUAUUGUGCAUGUACUGUAGACGACAGUGUUAAAUGACAGUGCACACUUUCAUACAUCUUAGAAUUAUUCUUGACAGUUAUACAA